rnacentral:rRNA from 1 species
GACGAACGCUGGCGGCGUGCUUAACACAUGCAAGUCGAGCGGUAAGGCCCUUUCGGGGUACACGAGCGGCGAACGGGUGAGUAACACGUGGUGACCUGCCCUUACGCUCUGGGAUAAGCCUGGGAAACGUGGGUCUAAUACCGGAUAUGACUCCAUGACGCAUGUUGUGGGUGGAAAGCCUUGUGCGGCUAGGGAUGGGCCCGCGCCUAUCAGCUUGUUGGUGGGGUGAGGCCUACCAAGGCGACGACGGGUAGCCGGCCUGAGA